CAGUGUCUGGUGGGUAGUUUGACUGGGGCGGUCUCCUCCUAAAGAGUAACGGAGGAGCACGAAGGUUGGCUAAUCCUGGUCGGACAUCAGGAGGUUAGUGCAAUGGCAUAAGCCAGCUUGACUGCGAGCGUGACGGCGCGAGCAGGUGCGAAAGCAGGUCAUAGUGAUCCGGUGGUUCUGAAUGGAAGGGCCAUCGCUCAACGGAUAAAAGGUACUCCGGGGAUAACAGGCUGAUACCGCCCAAGAGUUCAUAUCGACGGCGGUGUUUGGCACCUCGAUGUCGGCUCAUCACAUCCUGGGGCUGAAGUAGGUCCCAAGGGUAUGGCUGUUCGCCAUUUAAAGUGGUACGCGAGCUGGGUUUAGAACGUCGUGAGACAGUUCGGUCCCUAUCUGCCGUGGGCGCUGGAGAACUGAGGGGGGCUGCUCCUAGUACGAGAGGACCGGAGUGGACGCAUCACUGGUGUUCGGGUUGUCAUGCCAAUGGCACUGCCCGGUAGCUAAAUGCGGAAGAGAUAAGUGCUGAAAGC
rnacentral:rRNA from 1 species